UAAUGCAGUCGAGCGGACAGAUGGGAGCUUGCUCCCUGAAGUCAGCGGCGGACGGGUGAGUAACACGUGGGCAACCUGCCUGUAAGACUGGGAUAACUCCGGGAAACCGGGGCUAAUACCGGAUAAUUCUUUUCCUCACAUGAGGGAAAGCUGAAAGAUGGUUUCGGCUAUCACUUACAGAUGGGCCCGCGGCGCAUUAGCUAGUUGGUGAGGUAACGGCUCACCAAGGCAACGAUGCGUAGCCGACCUGAGAGGGUGAUCGGCCACACUGGGACUGAGACACGGCCCAGACUCCUACGGGAGGCAGCAGUAGGGAAUCUUCCGCAAUGGACGAAAGUCUGACGGAGCAACGCCGCGUGAGUGAUGAAGGUUUUCGGAUCGUAAAACUCUGUUGUUAGGGAAGAACAAGUACCGGAGUAACUGCCGGUACCUUGACGGUACCUAACCAGAAAGCCACGGCUAACUACGUGCCAGCAGCCGCGGUAAUACGUAGGUGGCAAGCGUUGUCCGGAAUUAUUGGGCGUAAAGCGCGCGCAGGCGGUUCCUUAAGUCUGAUGUGAAAGCCCCCGGCUCAACCGGGGAGGGUCAUUGGAAACUGGGGAACUUGAGUGCAGAAGAGAAGAGUGGAAUUCCACGUGUAGCGGUGAAAUGCGUAGAGAUGUGGAGGAACACCAGUGGCGAAGGCGACUCUUUGGUCUGUAACUGACGCUGAGGCGCGAAAGCGUGGGGAGCAAACAGGAUUAGAUACCCUGGUAGUCCACGCCGUAAACGAUGAGUGCUAAGUGUUAGAGGGUUUCCGCCCUUUAGUGCUGCAGCAAACGCAUUAAGCACUCCGCCUGGGGAGUACGGCCGCAAGGCUGAACUCAAAGGAAUUGAC
rnacentral:rRNA from 2 species